rnacentral:misc_RNA from 1 species
AAGUCGUAACAAGGUUUCCGUAGGUGAACCUGCGGAAGGAUCAUUAAGGGGAUGGAGAGAGAGUGUUGUGCUAUGUUGUACCGUUGUCCAAUUGGACAUCCUUUUAUCCAAUCAAUCUAUUCCAUGUGAACAUGCGAACCAAUAAAACUGCCAGCAACGAAUCACUUGGUUCUC